rnacentral:rRNA from 1 species
CCUACGGGAGGCAGCAGUGGGGAAUAUUGGACAAUGGGGGGAACCCUGAUCCAGCCAUGCCGCGUGUGUGAAGAAGGCCCUCGGGUUGUAAAGCACUUUCAGUGAGGAAGAACGCCUGGUGGUUAAUACCCAUCAGGAAAGACAUCACUCACAGAAGAAGCACCGGCUAACUCCGUGCCAGCAGCCGCGGUAAUACGGAGGGUGCGAGCGUUAAUCGGAAUUACUGGGCGUAAAGCGCGCGUAGGUGGCUUGAUAAGCCGGUUGUGAAAGCCCCGGGCUCAACCUGGGAACGGCAUCCGGAACUGUCAAGCUAGAGUGCAGGAGAGGAAGGUAGAAUUCCCGGUGUAGCGGUGAAAUGCGUAGAGAUCGGGAGGAAUACCAGUGGAGAAGGCGGCCUUCUGGACUGACACUGACACUGAGGUGCGAAAGCGUGGGUAGCAAACAGGAUUAGAUACCCCGGUAGUC